GACGAACGCUGGCGGCGUGCUUAACACAUGCAAGUCGAACGGUGAAGCUCCAGCUUUCUGGAGUGGAUCAGUGGCGAACGGGUGAGUAACACGUGAGCAACCUGCCCCAGACUCUGGAAUAAGCGCUGGAAACGGCGUCUAAUACUGGAUACGAGAUCAAGCCGCAUGGUUAUGGUCUGGAAAGUUCUUCGGUUUGGGAUGGGCUCGCGGCCUAUCAGCUUGUUGGUGAGGUAAUGGCUCACCAAGGCGACGACGGGUAGCCGGCCUGAGAGGGCGACCGGCCACACUGGGGCUGAGACACGGCCCAGACUCCUACGGGAGGCAGCAGUGGGGAAUAUUGCACAAUGGGCGAAAGCCUGAUGCAGCGACGCCGCGUGAGGGAUGACGGCCUUCGGGUUGUAAACCUCUUUCAGCAGGGAAGAAGCGAAAGUGACGGUACCUGCAGAAGAAGCACCGGCUAACUACGUG
rnacentral:rRNA from 1 species